CAUUAUUUAGGUGACACUCCAGAGAUGAAGUGUUCUCCAGGCUUUGUGACUGUGGUACUCUUAAUGCUUGGACAAACCCAUGGAGACUCAGUGACUCAGACGGAGGGCCAAGUGACCCUCUUAGAAGAGGCUUCCCUGACUGUGAACUGUACCUAUUCAGCGUCAGGGUCCCUCACUCUUUUCUGGUAUGUCCAGUAUCCAGGAGAAGGUCCAGAGCUCCUCCUGAAAGCCUUGAGGGACAAGGAGAAGGGAAGCAAGAAAGGAUUUGAAGCCACCUAUGACAGAGAUUCCAAAUCCUUCCACUUGGAGAAAGGCUCAGUGCAAGCGUCAGAUUCAGCUGUGUAUUACUGUGCCCUGAUAGGAUUUGGUUCACUUGUAAUCCCCAUUCAAUCUAAGCAGUUAUCUACUUCUCUGACCAUCUGCAUUUCCUUCAUCAGGAAGCUUGGAACGAAUGGGGCUGGUAGUCUGUGUCCGCUGAGUGUCUUGGUCUGA